AUGAUUUAGUUGGGGUUGGUCCUGCUGUGAGCAGGAGGUUGGACUAGAUGACCUCCGGAGGUCCCUUCCAACCCUAAUCUUCUAUGAUUCUAUGAUACGUGGUGAAGGAUGGGCAGAGCUAUGUAUCACUUGUAUAUUGCUGGCAUUUUAGUCCUUGUCAUCUGGCCCGUUCACCUAGUGAUUGCAUAUAGAUGCUGAAAAGGACCAGAGAGAGUUGAUCCUUGUGGAACUCCACAAGUGAGGGGUAUAGUGGUGAAGGUGCAGUUCCCCAUCACAACUCAUUGAGAUCAUCCUUCCAGGAAGGACUCAAACCGUGUUAGCACAUUAACCUGCCACCCCUCUCAAGUGAGACAGCAGAAUCUCAUGGUCAAAAGUGUCAAAUGCUACAGAGAAAUCCAGCAGGAUGAAAAUGGAUGUUUGUCUUUUAUCCAUUCACAGGAGAUCUGUGAUGGGACGUCUGCCCCACACUGGCAGAGAAGGGGUUAAUAGAGCCCUAGGGAGGCUGCACUGGAAGCAGCCAAUCAGAGGGGGGCUGUGGAGAACAGCCCAUCAGGGCCCAGCAGGUCCAUAUAAAGAGAGCCACUGGGCAGAGCAGGGUCAGUUGCUAUUGGGAGCCUGGAGAGCAAGCACUGUGUCCCUGGAGAGCUUAGAACUGUAACCACCUUGGAUAGAGCAGUGGCUGGCUCCUGGGAAUCAGCAGCUAAGUGCCUCAAGGAAAUAUUCUAAAUCCAGUGGCUGGAAGCUGAAGUUGGACAUAAAUAAGGCACCCUUUUAACAGUGAAGCUUUGGUUGGUGCAAAGCCAAGCUAUUCAGAGAGAACUGUCGAUCCCUUGCUGCAGAUUGUUGGUGUUAUGAGGGAGAAAGCAAAGGAAUAUAGAACACAGAUGGAGGGAUUCUAGAUCCCAGUUACAAACAUCCACUUUGCCCCAGCGUUCAAGCCUAUCUCCAUGGAAAACCAUACGACUAAAAGCCUACUGAAAACCAUGGAGGAAAGCCUCCUGUUGCAGACAAGCUGUAUGACUGCAAGGUACAAUUCCUGAAUCCUUAAUCAGCCUCUGUCACUAGAGGAGGUCUUGGGCUAUGGGGAUGAGGAGUACUGCCUUUGGCUAUCAUGGGGAAGAAGCUGAUGGGACCUAUUUGCAGUGUUGCGUCUCUCUUUUUUUAGAACGUAAGCUCUUUGGUGAUGGGAUUUUCUUUAUCUUGUUUACUGUACAAAGAAAGAAAAUUGUUGGUGCUAAAGAAAUAAAUAUGUAUAAGGUUAACAAACACUAAUGAUAGGUCUAUGCUUGAGGCGGUAUAUAGAGUACAUACACUGCAUACCAAGAUAACCUGGGUACAAAUAGCAGGGUAGAUGGUGAGGCACAGCUUAGGCAAGUGGAGUAAAGCCACGCCAUAACCUUUGGGUGUGUACCCUGCACGCUCUCUGCAUGCCCAAGCAGUGCCUCCCAUGUCUAUGCUGCUCUUUUUGGUAACGUUGGUCCUGCUGUCUCAGCAAAAGACUCUGGCUGUAAGAGCCCACGGGUCUCAAACCCAGGCUCGCGGGUUCCUAGGAAGCCCUCACAACUGGCUGCCACUAGGCAGCUCACCCAGAACCACGAGAAGUGAGGAGCUAGAAAAACUCUGACCUCCCUCCCUGAGGCACUGCCCAUGAGGAUCCUGUCUGUGGGACAAUGAGAAGUCCCUCUACUUGGCCUGACCAUGCUAUUUAAGCCAGAAGGAGGCACAGGAAGUUGUCUGAGCAACUGAGAGACUUCCUGAUUGGCUGCUGAACUGGUCCUGACUUGUGUUGAUCUCUGUCUCUGACCCCUGGCUUGGUUCCUGGAUGCUGAUUCUGGCUCUGACCACUAUGCCUGACUGCCCCUGCUAUGACCACUAGUUCAGACUGCGCACAUCCUAGUCUGAACAUUGGCAGAGGGGAAGCAGCAGGGAAAGGCUCCAGCAGCUCCCUUUGCCAGACCUUUCCUCAUAGUCUUCCCCCUGCUAGAGCCUUUCAUUGCAGCCUGUAGCUACACACCACAGUGUGGACGCAGCCUGCCUUUCACUGCGGCAUGUAGCUACACGCUGCCGCCAAUAUAGACAAGGACUAAGUAGUAGCCUGGGACUUAGGAACUUUGAACAUGUAGCUCUUCAAGUGUAUGUGUUACUUGACUGUUUAUAUUUGCCAGCACAAGAGUGCUCAUGGUAGUAAAGUUAAACACAUGCGUAAGUAUUUGCAGGAUUAGAGCCUUAGGAGCGUAGGCCUCAUUGAAAGUCACUGGGAUUUAGGUGUAAUUUAGGCAUUAAGUGCUUAAGAAUGUUAACCUGAAUCUUGUGAUUCUCCUUAAUUCCAAAUCCUGCUUGCUUUACUGACAGGAGUAAUUUCAGUGAAGUCAGUGGUCCUACUUAUGUGAGUCAGGUGAGCAGGACUUGGCACCUAGUAUUAUACAGUCUGACCUAAAUUAAAGAAUUCCUGGUCACUUAUUAAUAUCAUAAAGCUAGACACAUUAUUGACACUUGCAUAUCUUUCCACAUUUGUAGAUACAAUAUCUGACCUUAAUGUUUAGGUUGAAUUCUUUGAAUUUUGCAAUAGCUAUGUAUAGCCUAUGCAUGGUAUUUCCUUGUUUAAUCACUGUCAACACCUCCAACUCAUAAUAACAACCAUGACAAGAUCUG